GGAAGAAGCCCGACAUUUCUUAUAGGAAAUGGAACUCUUCAUAAGCCAAAAACAAUCCAUUGAUACACUUGGUGACAUUAAUUGAGAAAAAAACAAUAUGGUCUGGCCAUGGAGGCAUGGUAUCCGUAACAUCCCCCAAAGGAGCUAAAGAAGAAAUCCACAAUUUACCAUGAGCAUUUCUCGUCUGAAGAUUGCCAAGCGAUUCCUCCAGGACAUUCCUCAAGAUCAAUUUCUGUUCAUCCACCUUGUCCUGGGAGGGACAUCAAUGGGUUUCCAUGUCCUUUGGCUUCUGGUUGAGUUCACUCAGUGGAGAACCCUGGCAAGAGGCAGGAAAAGGGGAGGAAGCAGCCUGACCGGUUUGAAUUUCACCUUCUGUUCACCUUGGAUGAGAGCAGUAAUCAUCACGAUCCCAGGGAACAGCCAAAGGAAGAGAAAAGGCAAAAGAUUUGGACAAGACUCAUGAAGACUAACAGCUCUUGGAUAAUUGAGAGAAGGCAGCUGCGUGAACAGUUUUGAUGCAAUCAUGAAGGCAGGGCCCAGUGCCUGUGGCAUCUGCCUUUUUCUGGAACCAAUCCAUAUUUCCUUGUGGUUUUCUAAGGUGCAGAGAGGGCACAUUGGGAACUUUGCUUGGGGUCUUUUUCACAUCUUAGAGGGAAGGUCCCUCAACAUCUGCAUUGGCGGAGUGUGAUCCUCAUGUCCCUCUGAAUGAUCUGGACUUGAGGUAACCAGCCCCUUCCAGGAAGCUGUCCCAUGAGUGAAGCCUCAGCAGCAGCCUCUGUCAGUCCCUCCCCCACAGAACCUUUGGCUUCCAUUUGACCAGCCUUGACAUCCAGUGUCCAAACACCGAUAAAAUUGAUUCCACUAAGCGUGGGAAAGUCCUGGAGCAUCGAUUGUUUCCUCCUCUGCACCCCCGAUACCCUGGCAUUAGCACUCUCCCAGAAUGUACCUUGCUUGUUUGAUUGGAGGAGGUCAAAGCCCUGAUGAAGAAUGAGUGGAAUUCCACAGGAUUGGAGCAGUCUUGAUAAAUGACAGCAGGGGAUGGUGUGGGGAGGGGAAAGGAUCAGAGGAAGUGUGGAUAAAUGAAUGGCUUAAAAAAUAAUCCACCUUUGCCUCCCCCUUUUCUACCAGUCUGUCUAGUGCUUCAGGGUGAAAAAAAAAAAAAAAA
ensembl:lncRNA SOX9-AS1 SOX9 antisense RNA 1